rnacentral:rRNA from 1 species
AUGGCCGCCACUGCCUCAGAGCCGCCCAUGGUGGAGCAAGUGAUCACCGAGUUCUUUGCCAAGAGCCUCCACAUCAUCCUGGAGUCCCGCUCGCCCUACGAAUCAUCACGCAGCUUCACGCGGCCUUCACCGCCAUCUUCGCCGCUCUCUGGCAGCCAGCCACGGGACAGGUGGUUCAACCUUGCCCUCCGGGACUGCCCAGCUGCACUUGAGAACUUUGACCUGUGGAGACAGAGCAAUCUUGAGCCAUUGGUUAUUGAUAUUGUGAUGCUCCGGCGUGACAAUCCCAACACUACCUGUGCUGAGGGUGGCAAGAUCAUAGAGAGGUGGGUGAUACAGUAUGAAACCAGCAAGCCUGGCAGUGGCAAUGGUAAUGGCAGCAAGAACCAUAGCAGGAAGUCUAGGAACAGCCCGGCUGAGGAUCAUAGCUUGUACAGGAGUACAUACAAGGGCUCAACAGUGUUACUUCGGUCAUUGCAUCUGGUUGUCAGGCUCUUGCCAGCCUACAAUCUCUUCAGGGAGUUGAAUUCAUCUGGGAGAAUCCGUCCACUUAACCUGUCACACAAGAUAUCAUCAUUCGUCGAGCCGUUUACUAGGGCAGAGGAUGCAGAGAUGAAGCACUAUGCAUUUGCUCCAAUUGAAACUCUGUUUGGCCGCCUGAGCUUGUCAGUUUCUUAUGUGCCAGUGCUGGAGGUGGUGGCAGCACCAGAGCCAACCACACACAUGUCAACAGAGCUUAUAAUGGAUUAUGUCGGGAGCCCCACAACAGACUUCCUCAGGACGUUCAAUUCCCUGCCUUCAGAUGGCAUUGCACCUGAUUGUGCUGCAAUGACUAGGCGUCACAGUUGGAGUAUUGACCCUGGAGCUAGACCAUCGGUAUCACCAUCUCCUCUUUUGCAUGAUAGUCCUCUAACACGUUUGCAUCCACAUAGCACAAUAUCCUCUGGGAAGAAAAAAAGUACAGGAUUUGAAGACUGCUAUCAGUCACCACUGUUGUCACCAUCGCCAUCCCGUUCCCCUUCUGCUAGCUACCCAAAAAAUUCUUUGUUCCGAUAUGAGAGUGCUCCUGUGGUCAUUCCCACUGGGAGGGAUGGUGGAGGUAGUGGACUGCCUCCUUCUCCAUCUUUCAAGGGUAAACACCAGCUCCCAUCUCAAAACUACAACCUAACCCCAUCGCCUGAUGGAGAUUCAAAUGUAAGGAAGGAUUUGGUCAGGUUUGGUGAAUUUGAGAAUAAUACGGCCAUGCAAAAGGUGCUAUCUUUUGAUAAAUAUGAUUUGGGAUAUUUUCAUGGACUGAAGUUGACUCGGACUGCGAGCAAACUUUUUAUCACGGAUGAACUGGAUGAGCGGGAGUUGGCAUUUGCAUGGGAAGAUAGAGAUAUCAUUAUUGAUCAACUUAACAGGGUUGGUAUCUCGGAUAGGGAGGGCCAAGAGACAAACCAGGACGCUGGAGGCUCGAUGGCAAGGACUCCAGCUGCAGGCAUCGGCGCUCUUGUGCGCAUGCUCAAGACGGCCCCGGGCCUCAGGGCAAGCCGCCCAUCAAUCGAAGCUCCUCCCCCAGUUCCUCAAGAAUCUUCAGUUCAGAGGGUCAUGACCGAGGAACACGGCGAUAUGGCAUCAAGCUCUGCCUUGCUCCAAUCAAAGACGGCAGCGGACGCACUGGAGGAGCUAAAGAAAUACAAGGCUAUCAGAGAAUCGAUACUGGACCGUGCGAAAGCGUUGCCCCGGGAUGAUGGCAAGAUGGGGGAGAAACCCGCCGAUGGAGAUCCUUAG